rnacentral:tRNA from 1 species
GGGCCGUUAGCUCAGUUGGUAGAGCACCGGACUUUUAAUCCGUUGGUCGAAGGUUCGAACCCUUCACGGCCCACCA